rnacentral:lncRNA from 1 species
UUUUAACCUGUACAAAGAAAACUAAAAUAUACACUUGUUCAUUGUUUUCGGCAGGUCUCACUGCUGAACUCUAACUUUCCAGCUCAAGUGGCUUUGGGUAAUAUAGUUCAUCCUAUGUCGUUGCCUAUUCAGCUAGACAUGAUGAGGUUCAAACUACCAUCACCAAACUGA